rnacentral:rRNA from 1 species
GGAAUUUUCCGCAAUGGGCGAAAGCCUGACGGAGCAACGCCGCGUGAGGGAUGAAGGCCUCUGGGCUGUAAACCUCUUUUCUCAAGGAAGAAGAUCUGACGGUACUUGAGGAAUAAGCCACGGCUAAUUCCGUGCCAGCAGCCGCGGUAAUACGGGAGUGGCAAGCGUUAUCCGGAAUUAUUGGGCGUAAAGCGUCCGCAGGCGGUUCUGUAAGUCUGCCGUUAAAGCGUGGAGCUUAACUCCAUUUCGGCGGUGGAAACUGCAGGACUUGAGUGUGGUAGGGGCAGAGGGAAUUCCCGGUGUAGCGGUGAAAUGCGUAGAUAUCGGGAAGAACACCAGUGGCGAAAGCGCUCUGCUGGGCCAUAACUGACGCUCAUGGACGAAAGCCAGGGGAGCGAAAGGGAUUAGAUACCCCUGUAGUCCUGGCCGUAAACGAUGAACACUAGAUGUCGGGGGAAUCGACCCCCUCGGUGUCGUAGCCAACGCGUUAAGUGUUCCGCCUGGGGAGUACGCACGCAAGUGUGAAACUCAAAUGAAUUGACGGA